CCUACGGGAGGCUGCAGUGAGGAAUAUUGGUCAAUGGACGAGAGUCUGAACCAGCCAAGUAGCGUGAAGGAUGACUGUCCUAUGGGUUGUAAACUUCUUUUAUAAAGGAAUAAAACGAGGCACGUGUGCCUUUUUGCAUGUACUUUAUGAAUAAGGAUCGGCUAACUCCGUGCCAGCAGCCGCGGUAAUACGGAGGAUCCGAGCGUUAUCCGGAUUUCUUGGGUUUAAAGGGAGCGUGGAUGGGUUGUUCAGUCAGUUGUGAAAGUUUGCGGCUCAACCGUAAAAUUGCAAUUGAUACUGGCAGUCUUGAGUACAGUUGAGGUAAGCGGAAUUCGUGGUGGAGCGGUGAAAUGCUUAGAUAUCACGAAGAACCCCGAUUGCGAAGGCAGCUUACUAAACUGUGACUGACAUUGAUGCUCGAAAGUGUGGGUAUCAAACAGGAUUAGAUACCCUUGUAGUC
rnacentral:rRNA from 1 species